CCCGUAAAGUUCAGAGAGAAGCUUGACGUGAGGGCGAAAGAGCAGACAGGCGUAUGCGGCACAGAGAGCAGGCCAAGACAUCUGGAAUCGAGUAACAGAAGGGAUGUUGGAAUGCUCACGUGCACAAAAGGACUUCUGAAUUGUUGGUGUUGGCUGAAGGGAUGGGUUUGGUGUAAUGAAGGACCAGUCAGACAACGUUUGUGAGUUUCACGAUGAACACGGAAUCCUUUCUCUUUAACUUCCUCUCCUACAACCAUUUCAACAUGGUUACUGAAUUCACACAAACCACUGAGUCAUUUACAGUAGUUAAUGUGGAUAAUGGUGUUAAGAUUAAUAACUCCUUCAUAUCUGAAUAAUAAUUCACACUAAUUACUGAGUCAUUUGCCUUAAUAUGAAACACCAAAUACUGGAGAUUAAGAGGUCUUCAUCUGAUCCCAGAACAGUCACACCUACCUUCAAGUUAAUCUGAACUAG